UACGUAGGGUGCGAGCGUUGUCCGGAUUUAUUGGGCGUAAAGAGCGUGUAGGCGGCUUUACAGGUCCGUUGUGAAAACUCGAGGCUCAACCUCGAGACGCCGGUGGAAACCGUAAAGCUAGAGUCCGGAAGAGGAGAGUGGAAUUCCUGGUGUAGCGGUGAAAUGCGCAGAUAUCAGGAGGAACACCCGUGGCGAAAGCGGCUCUCUGGGACGGUACUGACGCUGAGACGCGAAAGCGUGGGGAGCAAACAGG
rnacentral:rRNA from 1 species